GAGCCAGCACUGCGAGCUUUUACCCUUGUUCUUAAUUAAUUGCCGCACAGCGGAGGAUUCUUGAGGAAGCGGGGCACAGAGGGAGGAGAAACUUCUCCUGGGCGGCAGGAAAGAAAAUGUGAUACACAUAAAGAUGCCAACUGGAUGUUUUAUUUAAUGCAACAGAAAAUUCUGCAUCUUGCAAAACCAGAACAGCAGUUUGCUCCUGGCUGUGUACAGGCUUCUCCACAGAGCACUUUACAUCAGCAAUCAACAGAGCACAUGAUUUGCAUAAGCCAUCGCUAUUAAAUUUUCCACAACAGUUAAUCACCAAUGUGAUGAAACAGAACAAAAUUCCCUGGACUGAGAAGCUGGGAAGGAACAUACCAGGAGCUUUGGCAGAUCCAGCCCUGCUCUGCACAAGAAGAAUACGAAUAAUAAGAAUAAUAAGAAGCUGUCAGCUAUAAGGUGUUCUCAGUCAUGUUUUGU